rnacentral:rRNA from 1 species
GUAGGUGGCAAGCGUUGUCCGGAAUUAUUGGGCGUAAAGCGCGCGCAGGCGGUUCUUUAAGUCUGAUGUGAAAGCCCACGGCUCAACCGUGGAGGGUCAUUGGAAACUGGAGAACUUGAGUACAGAAGAGGAAAGCGGAAUUCCACGUGUAGCGGUGAAAUGCGUAGAGAUGUGGAGGAACACCAGUGGCGAAGGCGGCUUUCUGGUCUGUAACUGACGCUGAGGCGCGAAAGCGUGGGGAGCAAACAGGGAUUAGAUACCCUGGUAGUCCACGCCGUAAACGAUGAGUGCUAAGUGUUAGGGGGCUUCCGCCCCCCUUAGUGCUGCAGCUAACGCAUUAAGCACUCCGCCUGGGAGUACGACCGCAAGGUUG